rnacentral:rRNA from 1 species
UAUGUCUUCGGACAUAGAGACCGGCGCACGGGUGCGUAACGCGUAUGCAAUCUACCUUUUACAGGGGAAUAGCCCAGAGAAAUUUGGAUUAAUGCCCCAUAGUAUAAUUGAAUGGCAUCAUUUAAUUAUUAAAGUCACAACGGUAAAAGAUGAGCAUGCGUCCCAUUAGUUAGUUGGUAAGGUAACGGCUUACCAAGACAAUGAUGGGUAGGGGUCCUGAGAGGGAGAUCCCCCACACUGGUACUGAGACACGGACCAGACUCCUACGGGAGGCAGCAGUGAGGAAUAUUGGACAAUGGGCGCAAGCCUGAUCCAGCCAUGCCGCGUGCAGGAAGACGGUCCUAUGGAUUGUAAACUGCUUUUAUACAGGAAGAAACACUCCGACGUGUCGGAGCUUGACGGUACUGUAGGAAUAAGGAUCGGCUAACUCCGUGCCAGCAGCCGCGGUAAUACGGAGGAUCCAAGCGUUAUCCGGAAUCAUUGGGUUUAAAGGGUCCGUAGGCGGUUUAAUAAGUCAGUGGUGAAAUCUGGUCGCUCAACGAUCAAACGGCCAUUGAUACUGUUAGACUUGAAUUAUAAGGAAGUAACUAGAAUAUGUAGUGUAGCGGUGAAAUGCUUAGAUAUUACAUGGAAUACCAAUUGCGAAGGCAGGUUACUACUUAUGGAUUGACGCUGAUGGACGAAAGCGUGGGGAGCGAACAGGAUUAGAUACCCUGGUAGUCCACGCCGUAAACGAUGGAUACUAGCUGUUGGAAGCAAUUUCAGUGGCUAAGCGA